UCACACUGAAACACCAGUUCCCGUACGAUCACAGGAGGAAGUUAAGCAACGUCGAUCUGGGUCAGUACCUAGAUGGGUGACCGUUCGGGAAUACCAGGUGCUGUAAG